rnacentral:rRNA from 1 species
UACGGGGGGGGCAAGCGUUGUUCGGAAUUACUGGGCGUAAAGGGCGCGUAGGCGGCCUGCUAAGUCGGAUGUGAAAUCCCUCGGCUCAACCGAGGGACUGCAUCCGAUACUGGCGGGCUUGAAUCCGGGAGAGGGAUGUGGAAUUCCAGGUGUAGCGGUGAAAUGCGUAGAUAUCUGGAGGAACACCGGUGGCGAAGGCGGCAUCCUGGACCGGUAUUGACGCUGAGGCGCGAAAGCGUGGGGAGCAAACAGG